UGGGGCGGUGGUGGCGGUGAGUGGAGGUUCCCGGCCGUGGGGUGCGGUGGAGGCGGGACCGUGCGUGAUACAUAUGGAGCACCCAGGACAGGGGGCCAGCACCAUUCCAGAUUGGAUACCGCAGUGACGAGGACCUUCAUAAAGCUAAUUUUAUUGUGUGGGGAGAGAGAUGAUAAAUAAAGAAAUAAGUUACUUCUA